rnacentral:tRNA from 1 species
AAGGUUGGCGGAGUGGUUGAACGCGGCGGUCUUGAAAACCGUUGACUCGAAAGGGUCCGGGGGUUCGAAUCCCUCACCUUC